GGCCUCCCAAUACUUACCACAGUCUAUGUUCUUUACACUGACUGUAUAGAAAGAAGAGGUACAGUAAAUGCUCCCCAUAUACAUCUCAACCCAGGCCCUUUGCCUGGUCUGUACUAUGAAUGGAGGGGACAAUA